rnacentral:rRNA from 1 species
GUCGGAGGAAGUGGGGAUGACGUCAAAUCAUCAUGCCCCUUAUGACCUGGGCUACACACGUGCUACAAUGGGCGGUACAAAGGGUCGCGAACCCGCGAGGGGGAGCCAAUCCCAAAAAGCCGCUCUCAGUUCGGAUUGCAGGCUGCAACUCGCCUGCAUGAAGCCGGAAUCGCUAGUAAUCGCGGAUCAGCAUGCCGCGGUGAAUACGUUCCCGGGCCUU